rnacentral:piRNA from 1 species
UAAGUGGCCUGAUUCUUAGGAUA